rnacentral:misc_RNA from 1 species
UCCGGCUUGUCACCGGCAGUUCCCCUAGAGUGCCCAGCUUAACCUGAUGGCAACUAAGGGCGAGGGUUGCGCUCGUUGCGGGACUUAACCCAACAUCUCACGGCACGAGCUGACGACAGCCAUGCAGCACCUGUGUGGGAGCCAGCCGAACUGAAGGAUCCCGUCUCCGAGACCCAAACUCCCCAUGUCAAGGGCUGGUAAGGUUCUUCGCGUUGCAUCGAAUUAAACCACAUGCUCCACCGCUUGUGCGGGCCCCCGUCAAUUCCUUUGAGUUUUAGCCUUGCGGCCGUACUCCCCAGGCGGGGCACUUAAUGCGUUAGCGCCGGCACGGGAGGAGUCGACACCUCCCACACCUAGUGCCCAUCGUUUACGGCGUGGACUAC